rnacentral:tRNA from 1 species
GUCUUCGUAGUAUAUUGAUUACRCUGGUCUUGUAAGCCAUCAAAGGAGAAUCGUACCCUCCCUAAGACU